AGAGAGAGCAGUGCAUAAACCUGUAACAUAGACCGAAGAUCUGUAGAGCUCUCAUGCGUACUUUUCAAAGAUUUCACAUUCACAAAUUCACAAAAAGCUCUGCGAGUUAAUCCACUCACGCUCUAUUGGCUAUUCGAUGUAGAAGAAGAGGAAGAGCUGACAACCGAUGGCAACGUCAUAGAUGACCAUGGAGCCAACUGAUUAUCAGUAUCCUCCUCGUCACCGGUGGAAAGAUCAACGUUAUCAGUGCUUACAUCAUCCUUAGUCUCCUUAGAUUUUUCUUCUUCUUCUUCUUUAAGAUUAGCUCCACUUGUACAUCUAUUGCAGAUGGAAACAAUUUGGCCGAGUUUAACAGAAGUGGC
rnacentral:misc_RNA from 1 species